rnacentral:rRNA from 1 species
CGCUAGCUACAGGCUUAACACAUGCAAGUCGAGGGGCAUCAGGAAGAAAGCUUGCUUUCUUUGCUGGCGACCGGCGCACGGGUGAGUAACACGUAUCCAACCUGCCCUUUACUCGGGGAUAGCCUUUCGAAAGAAAGAUUAAUACCCGAUAGCAUAAUGAUUCCGCAUGGUUUCAUUAUUAAAGGAUUCCGGUAAAGGAUGGGGAUGCGUUCCAUUAGGUUGUUGGUGAGGUAACGGCUCACCAAGCCUUCGAUGGAUAGGGGUUCUGAGAGGAAGGUCCCCCACAUUGGAACUGAGACACGGUCCAAACUCCUACGGGAGGCAGCAGUGAGGAAUAUUGGUCAAUGGGCGUUAGCCUGAACCAGCCAAGUAGCGUGAAGGAUGAAGGCUCUAUGGGUCGUAAACUUCUUUUAUAUAAGAAUAAAGUGCAGUAUGUAUACUGUUUUGUAUGUAUUAUAUGAAUAAGGAUCGGCUAACUCCGUGCCAGCAGCCGCGGUAAUACGGAGGAUCCGAGCGUUAUCCGGAUUUAUUGGGUUUAAAGGGAGCGUAGGUGGACUGGUAAGUCAGUUGUGAAAGUUUGCGGCUCAACCGUAAAAUUGCAGUUGAUACUGUCAGUCUUGAGUACAGUAGAGGUGGGCGGAAUUCGUGGUGUAGCGGUGAAAUGCUUAGAUAUCACGAAGAACUCCGAUUGCGAAGGCAGCUCACUGGACUGCAACUGACACUGAUGCUCGAAAGUGUGGGUAUCAAACAGGAUUA